AGAAAAACAGCUGUGAGCUUUCUGUGGAAUGCAUCGUCUUGGGUCACUCACAGGCUGUGAAUUAAUGAAAGACGGAGAAAGAAAAGAUCGAGUAUUCGGGAUUUCUUAUCAGCGAAAACCAGAAGUGCUCCAAGUAGCUCCAGCUGAGAGACAGGACUUGUAUUCCAUUAAAGGACAAGAAGAUGGCAAGAUGGAUGUGUGACCCGCCCCCCAGCGUCACUGGGUCUCAGCUGAGCCUUUACUCCCCAACACCCGAACUUCGUGACGGAGCUCGAGCCAAGGAAACACAGAGGUUUCAAGAUUCCCUUGCCACAAAUCUCAAAGCUAUCCGGAAUGUUAGUGAAAGCCUUGUGCUUCAGUGAAAAGGAAAGCCGCAGCCUUCAAGUUGUUAUCCCCAGAGGCAGCCACUCAGGGAGCAGACGCCUGACAUGAUUCAUUGAAGAGUCUGUGCCAGGAAGACUUCGGAAAAUCCUGCCUUGCGGAACAAUUGUGACAGUAGAUUUUCAUCUGGAAAACAGAAGCCAGAUCAGCCAUCCCUGGGAAAACACUGUGCCAUGGUGCCGAUGUCCAGGCCUUCCUAGCCAAUGGAUGGAAAACGUGCCGACAGAGG